rnacentral:lncRNA from 1 species
ACGGACCAGCUUGUAAUAACCGCUAUUUUUCAGCUUGCAAUAAAGUCAAACAAAGUCUUCCGGUCUUCUUGUUUUAGCCUUGCUUUCGGAUCCGGUCUCCUCUCUUCUCUCUUCUCCCGCAGACAAUGAAAAGAAGAUGGGCUCGAAUCGAGAGGAAGGAGUCCACCGACUCAUCUCCAUCUCCGCCUCCCGAUAUCUGAGCUUUCUCCUUUUGCAACGGUGCCGGGCUGGGCGAGAUCUCGGGAUUCUCGCCAGCGCGGAGGCCUGGUGAGGGUUGGCCGGCCGGCGGCUGCAUCUUCUUGACAUUUGCGCUUCUUCGUUUGGAGCUUGGGUUUGGGCUGCUUAUUUUCUUUGGUGUUAUUGGAUCUAUGGGUUUGGGCGGCGGUUGUUAUUAUAUGGGUCUCCUCCGCCGAAGUAACGCAGGUCUGCUUCGUGGAUUCCCUUUAUCAAAAAUUUCAUCUUUAUGCUCCUUUUUAUCCUUUUUAUUCCAAUUUUUUUGCUGUGUU